rnacentral:lncRNA from 1 species
CAAGUCUCCUCCGUCUGCGAGUCUUCCUGUAUGCUUCCUUCCUUACAAGGCUGGGCUAAAGUUUUUUAAGGCCCAUGGAAAAGCCUGUGAAAAGGGCCCUUUUAUAUGAUCAAUUUUUUUCGUGGAUUGGUUUUUGAACAUCUAUUUUCACUUUUUGCAUAGCUUUUUUUAUUUUAUUUUUUAUUAAAUUUAUUCAAACUAAUAACUAAAAAAAGAUGGAUCUGCAAGAGGUGGAAAAGAGCUUUUAAAAAUUACUAGUAGGCGUAUUCGUGUAUUGCUGUGGGAUUUUGAAUUUUGUUCAAGUAGAAAGUCUUGACAAGAUGCGGUAAAAAGCACAGUUUAAUGUUUACAUUAUAUGCAACAUUCAUGUAAAGUCUUAAAACUUUGUUCAAGUUAACAAAAUGGGGACAUUGGAAUGCCAAACUCAAGAAGUGUUAUUUACAUCCAUUUAUUACAUAGACACCCAAAUGUGUUCCUUUAGGGUGCGUUUGGUACGUGGGACGAGACGGAACAGAGUGGGACGGACGCGUUCCGUCCCACGUUUGGUGCGCUUAAAUUGUGUGGAACGCCUGUCCCACGGAACGAAAAUGGGUUAAAUUUUGGUUCCAUAUACCCCCUGGAACGGGUUGUUCCAUCCCGUAGAACACAAAUUUAUAAUUUUUUGGACAACAAUACCCCUCAUCUUUUUCAUUAAUUCCACUGUCUACCCUUGCUUUCUCUCCCGUAGCCUCCAUCUCUUCGAAUUCGUUCCUCUCUCCCGUAGCCUCCCUCUCUUCGAAUUCGAUCCCAGCAAACCCAUCUGAACCCAAACCAUGGCUUCCGGUUCAGUCCCUUCGCGCUCUAUCUUCUUCUCCGGCGCCGUCACCUCCGCGCUCAACCUUCUUCUCUGGCGCCGUCACCUCCGCGCUCCACCUUCUUCUUCGACACUCCGACCUCCUCGUCGAGGCGGUACCAAUCGCGAUCCAGUGACGGCAGUGAAGACUGAAGAAGAUGGUGUUGUGGGUAGACAAGUACCGACCCAAAACCCUAGACCAGACAAUUGUCCACCAAGACAUCGCCCAAAACCUCAAGAAACUCGUGCAACUCUACCCCUCCCUCGUCGAUUUCAAUUCCCAAUUUCUACGAUUUCAUAACCCUAACUUCUUCUUGUGCAGAUUGCAGAGCAGGAUUGCCCCCAUUUGCUCUUUUAUGUCGUUGGGCUUUGCUGCCACAUCGAUGAGGAGCAUCCGGUGGAGGCUAAGAACGGGGCAUUUUGUUCAAUUUCACUUUUUUUAGUUUAAUUUUGUAAGUUUUACAGUAAAAAUGGUUGUUUGAAUACGAACUUUCGAGAUUCAGAUCUUCUGUGGAUUGAUUUUUAUGGGUUUGAUUUACUGAGAUUGAUUUUUACUGGGAUCAAUCUGGGCAUGCGAAGAACACGAAACGUAUGGAAGAAGAGAAAGCAGAGAAACGGGAGAGAGAGGGAGAGUCAAAUAAAAAGGGCAAGUUAGUCAUUUAAUCCCGUUCCGUUCUGUUCCAUCUUGCUAGUACCAAACAUGACACGAAAUCUUUGUUCCGUUCCAUCCCGUUCCGUUCCGUCCCAUCCAGUCCCGUUUCGUCCCGUCUGCGUACCAAACGGUAUCUUAUAGACACCCAAAUUGGUAAGUCGGAUGAUGAUUUUGUUCCUUUUAUGUCCAAACUGUAUUUAAAAAACAACUAAAAAUUUGUUCUUUUAUAGACACCCAAAUCCACAAAGCCAUCGAACAUCAAUAUAAUAACCGAACUCAAAUAGAAAGAAAGAAAAAAA